rnacentral:snRNA from 1 species
AUCACUUCUUGGCCUUUUGGUUAAGAUCAAAUGUAGUAUCUGUUCUUAGCAGUUGAAUUAUUAAAAAAGGGCUGGGGAUGUAGAUGAGUGUGAAGACUCUAA